CCCCACCCCCGCUCCAGUUAAACCUUGUGACAAAGUCUGCAUUCACAUAAACUAGUCAACAUCCUACUGGUAACACUGUACAGAAACAAGUUUAGAAAAAGACAUUUUCAACGACUUAGGUUAGUUUGUUUUAUAACACUGACUUAUAAGAUAUACACACAAAGCAGAUAUUGGGGGUCUUGCCUGCCAUUUUCAUCAAUAGGAUUGAACAUAUGGAGUCUAUAUAGAUUUGGAUACAAGUAAGCCUCUACAACAGACUGCUAAUAGAUAGAUUAUACUCUCUGAUAAUUUCCAGAUUGAACUUUAGUCUGAUGAUUAACAAAACAAAUAUAAUUAAAUCCGACAAAAAAAUUUCAUCAGAUUAUUUAGUUAUAAAAUUAAGUGAAGGUUCUCAUUAUUUAAUUCGCUAAGCUUUUGAGCUGCAGUGAUCUUAAAGAUCACACGUGGACUCUACCAAGUGAAUGUGGGAGAUUACAGAGCAAGUGUAAUAUGUGCCUGUAUAUGUGCUUGUAUAUGUGACUCUUGCAAGAAUUUCAAAAACUAAAAAUAGUAUAAUUUGGUGAGGGGAUGAAAUGUAUUUCUAAUAGAGUAGACUCAGUUCUUUUUAGUAAUUAAAUCAUUCAUAAAUGUGCCCUAAGGGUUAGUAAAAGCUCAGUGUGCCUUAUGGGUUAGUAGAAGCUCAGUGUGCCUUAUGGGUUAGUACAAGCUU